rnacentral:lncRNA from 1 species
GUGAAAUGAACUGAUUUUUUCCUCUCCUUAAAUUUUCGUUUUUUUUUCCUGAUGCUGUGAGUAUCCAUACUGUUAUCAUUAUUAUUGACGUUAUUAUUAUACAAUUUCUUUAAACACUAACAGAUAAUCUUCCGAAAGUCAAGGGAAAGGGCAAACAGGUGAGAUGAGCUGACUAAUUACUGAUUCCUUGGUGGCUAAGUAAUUGUUAACCCUCUAUGUGUACGAAAAAUUAAUACACUAAAAGCAUCGUGAACUUGGCAGGUGUUACGUCAUCCUGGCAAAAUGUGUUGAUAAUCUAUGAUUAGUUGAUGGUUUGGUGAAAAUUGUUUGACACACACAAACACAAGCACACACACGCGCGCGCGCGCGCGCAAACGUACACACACACACGCAUACGCACACGUACACGAUGAAUGUUCGUGAAAUUAUUGCCUAUUUGGCCUCCUAAUAUUUCGAUGACCUAGGCAUUACCGGCGCAUGAACGCUCACACGCGCUUGAGCUCCCUCCAGUGCCAGUGGCUUAUUUUCCCCUCGUAGUUUAGGUGUCAGUCACUAUGGGAGGACCGGGGAUGCUGAAGAAAGUGGUAAGUUUAUGUGAGUGUUUUUAUAAGUGAAGACAGGUCAGUUAUAAUAAUCGUGAUAUAAUUGUGUGGGUAAAGUAUAUGAAGGGACCGCACCGACUAGAAGAAAAUUUAAGCUUUUCAUGUACAUCUCAUACGUAUCUAUCUAAUCUUAAUAUUUUUUCUUAUAUAAACUGCAGAUGAUAUUAUUAUUAUUAUUUUUUUAUAGUUUGUUUCGUCAGCCGGUCAGUUUCAAGUAUGAUUAACCGAUACCAAGACUGUGACAGUGGCUUUGGUGCGUAAAAAAAAAAAAAAAAAAAAAAAAAAAAAAAAAAAAAAAAAAAAAAAUAGUGACAGACUAUAUGUGACUGGGCUAGCUUUUGCGAAGUGUGUGUUUCUUGGUGUCUCAGAAACACCUAUGAAAAAACAGGUAGCAUUAAUAUAAUAGUAGAAAUUGACGAAAAUAAAUUCGGCAAGCGCAAAUAUAAUGUUGGCCGCGCAAUAGAGGGGCAGUGGGUGUUUGGCGGGGUCUGCCGUCAAACAAGACAAUUUUUCCUUGUCCCCGUUGCUUCCCGAGACGCCGAAACUCUUCUCGGCAUCAUAAAAGUAAAAACUGACAAUUGCUGGGAGCCAUAUAAAUGUCUUCAGCACUAAAGAUUUAACAGUUUAACACUUUGUGGGGUACUUAGCUCGGGUGAUGUUUCAGAUGAAUAUUUAUUAUUACCGUUUAUUAGCGAUCUCCUCGAUAUUCAUCCCCUCCCAAACCCCCGGUACCCCGCGGGAUCCCCCAAGAUUGUUGGCUGGAGUUCGGGACUUUGUCUCUGACGGGUGCGGUCCUCUUAUAAACUUUUUACCUUCGGCGUUUCUGUGGCAUUUUUAUUUAUUUAUAUAAUUUUAUUAAUCUUCCAUAGCUGGAUGCGCAUCGGAGAUCUAUCCAGCGGAAAAACAAGGAACAGCGCGAGAUGGAGAGGAGGAGAGAGAUGCACCGACAGCAGGAGGCAGUAGCGGCGAAUGUAGUGCAGGAGGUGGCGCAAAUACACCACGCAGACGGGGGGGGGAAUAGAAACCCAAACCACUAGCACCUGUGGGUCGAGGGAGCGCCUUGUGUCCCCGUAGGAUUGGGACGACACACCAUCAUCGAGGUCCUCGUGUAGUGUGCUACGGCUGUUGCUCCCUUCUUCGGUGCCCCAGGCCCGCUCAGCAUCUCCCGCAGAAAAUAACCCCACGACGUAAAAUAAGGAGAUAAAACCAUGGCGCGACCUUCUGCAGGCGCCGCAGAAGGAACUCUCCGGAGGAGGCGCAAGCACGUUGACGCAGGCGCAGCAGAAGGGACGAGACCGCAAGGAUCCUGCAAACGCCACAGAAGUUUUUUUGCGCGUAUUUAUUCGGUGAUUCAAUUAUAAACUUGAAUUUUGGUGUUUAAAUAUAUAUGAGAAAGCGUAGCUUAGUUCUCCGAUUUAUUGAAUUUAUUUUAAGUUUUUUUUUUCUCUCUCUCCCUCUUCAAAAAUUAGUUCAACUUAUUAUGGUGCUUUUAAUUCUACGUUUUAUCAGUUAUAUAUAUCAUUAAUAAUUAUUUGUAUUUUCCUUGGUAUAUAUAUAUUCAGGCUGAAACACUUUGUGUUCGUAUUCCGUCAUGAUAAAAGAUGCUACCACCAUAGGAUAGAUUUCAUCAGUAAGAAUUACUCUGUGCUGAAAUAGAGCGAAGGAAACAAGUUCGUGAAAAGACAAAUGUGUUUUUGUGACAUUGAAAAACAUCAACAGUGCGGUGUGAUUGUAAACAGUGAUUAGUGUUUCAAGACGAAGAUAACGUAUAACUCUGAACUAAGUAGAAUUUGUUUUCUUUUUCUUUUUCUUCUUCUUAAUAAUAAUAACAGCAAUAAUAAUAAUAUGAAGAAAAAUCAAACAUAUUCUAUUUAGUUCAGAGAAAUAUAAGUUAUUUUCAUCUUGAAACAGUAACACUCUUUACAAUCACACCGCACCGUUUUUGUUUUUUAAUGUCACUUGUCUUUCCAUCACUGUUUCCUUCGCUCUAUUUCAGCACAGAGUAAUUCUUACUGAUAAAAACAGU